UGGGGAAUAUUGGACAAUGGGCGAAAGCCUGAUCCAGCCAUGCCGCGUGUGUGAAGAAGGUCUUCGGAUUGUAAAGCACUUUAAGUUGGGAGGAAGGGCAGUUACCUAAUACGUAUCUGUUUUGACGUUACCGACAGAAUAAGCACCGGCUAACUCUGUGCCAGCAGCCGCGGUAAUACAGAGGGUGCAAGCGUUAAUCGGAAUUACUGGGCGUAAAGCGCGCGUAGGUGGUUUGUUAAGUUGGAUGUGAAAUCCCCGGGCCAACCUGGGAACUGCAUUCAAAACUGACAAGCUAGAGUAUGGUAGAGGGUGGUGGAAUUUCCUGUGUAGCGGUGAAAUGCGUAGAUAUAGGAAGGAACACCAGUGGCGAAGGCGACCACCUGGACUGAUACUGACACUGAGGUGCGAAAGCGUGGGGAGCAAACAGGAUUAGAUACCCCGGUAGUCCCUGAGCGGGCUGGCAAGGCGCAU
rnacentral:rRNA from 1 species